GGUUAAGUUAGUAAGGGCGCACGGUGGAUGCCUUGGCACUAGGAGCCGAAGAAGGACGUGACAAACGACGAAAUGCCUUGGGGAGCUGUAAGUAAGCGUAGAUCCAGGGAUGUCCGAAUGGGGGAACCCAAUAGGUAGAUACCUAUUACCCGUAUCUGUUAAGGAUAUGAGGAGGAAGACGCAGUGAACUGAAACAUCUAAGUAGCUGCAGGAAGAGAAAGCAAAAGCGAUUGCCUGAGUAGCGGCGAGCGAAAGGGCAAGAGGGCAAACCGAGAAGUUUACUUCUCGGGGUUGUAGGACUGCGAUGUGGAUUUAAAGAUUAUAGAAGAAGACCUUGGGAAAGGUUGCCAGAGAGAGUAAGAGCCUCGUAUUUUAAAUAAUCUUUAUACCUAGCAGGAUCCUGAGUACGGCGGGACACGAGGAAUCCCGUCGGAAUCUGGGAGGACCAUCUCCCAACCCUAAAUACUCCCUAGUGACCGAUAGUGAACCAGUACCGUGAGGGAAAGGUGAAAAGCACCCCGGGAGGGGAGUGAAAGAGAACCUGAAACCGUGUGCCUACAACAAGUUCGAGCCCGUUAAUGGGUGAGAGCGUGCCUUUUGUAGAAUGAACCGGCGAGUUACGUUAUGAUGCGAGGUUAAGUUGAAGAGACGGAGCCGUAGGGAAACCGAGUCUGAAGAGGGCGGUAUAGUAUCAUGAUGUAGACCCGAAACCAUGUGACCUACCCAUGAGCAGGUUGAAGGUGAGGUAAAACUCACUGGAGGACCGCACCAGGGCACGUUGAAAAGUGCUUGGAUGACUUGUGGGUAGCGGAGAAAUUCCAAACGAACUUGGAGAUAGCUGGUUCUCUCCGAAAUAGCUUUAGGGCUAGCGUCGACAGAAAGAUUCUUGGAGGUAGAGCACUGUUUGGGUGAGGGGUCCAUCCCGGAUUACCAAUCUCAGAUAAACUCCGAAUGCCAAUGAAUUAUGGUCGGCAGUCAGACUGCGAGUGCUAAGAUCCGUAGUCGAAAGGGAAACAGCCCAGACCACCAGCUAAGGUCCCAAAAUAAUUGUUAAGUGGAAAAGGAUGUGGGGUUGCACAGACAACUAGGAUGUUAGCUUAGAAGCAGCUAUUCAUUCAAAGAGUGCGUAAUAGCUCACUAGUCGAGUGACCCUGCGCCGAAAAUGUACCGGGGCUAAAACAAUUUACCGAAGCUGUGGAUCCUUUAGGGGAUGGUAGGAGAGCGUUCUAUGUGUGGUGAAGGUGUACCGUGAGGAGCGCUGGAACGCAUAGAAGUGAGAAUGCCGGUAUGAGUAGCGCAAGACAGGUGAGAAUCCUGUCCACCGUAAGACUAAGGUUUCCAGGGGAAGGCUCGUCCGCCCUGGGUUAGUCGGGACCUAAGGAGAGACCGAAAGGUGUAUCCGAUGGCCAACAGGUAGAGAUUCCUGUACUAGAGUAUAGAGUGAAGGAGGGACGCAGUAGGCUAACUCAAGCGUGCGAAUGGAAGAGCACGUCUAAGCAGUGAGGUGUGAUAGGAGUCAAAUGCUUCUAUCUGUAACAUUGAGCUGUGAUGGGGAGCGAAGUUUAGUAGCGAAGUGAGUGACGUCACACUGCCAAGAAAAGCUUCUAGCGUUAAUUUAUACUCUACCCGUACCGCAAACCGACACAGGUAGUCGAGGCGAGUAGCCUCAGGUGAUCGAGAGAACUCUCGUUAAGGAACUCGGCAAAAUGACCCCGUAACUUCGGGAGAAGGGGUGCUGGCUUAAAGUCAGCCGCAGUGAAUAGGCCCAAGCAACUGUUUAUCAAAAACACAGCUCUCUGCUAAAUCGUAAGAUGAUGUAUAGGGGGUGACGCCUGCCCGGUGCUGGAAGGUUAAGAGGAGUGCUUAGACGUAAGUCGAAGGUAUGAAUUGAAGCCCCAGUAAACGGCGGCCGUAACUAUAACGGUCCUAAGGUAGCGAAAUUCCUUGUCGGGUAAGUUCCGACCCGCACGAAAGGCGUAAUGAUUUGGGCACUGUCUCAACGAGAGACUCGGUGAAAUUUUAGUACCUGUGAAGAUGCAGGUUACCCGCGACAGGACGGAAAGACCCCAUGGAGCUUUACUGGGAUACUACCCUUGUGUUAUGGCCACUCUAACCCGGAUAGGUGAUCCCUAUCGGAGACAGUGUCUGACGGGCAGUUUGACUGGGGCGGUCGCCUCCUAAAAGGUAACGGAGGCGCCCAAAGGUUCCCUCAGAUUGGUUGGAAAUCAAUCGCAGAGUGUAAAGGUAUAAGGGAGCUUGACUGCGAGAGCAACAACUCGAGCAGGGACGAAAGUCGGGCUUAGUGAUCCGGUGGUUCCGUAUGGAAGGGCCAUCGCUCAACGGAUAAAAGCUACCCUGGGGAUAACAGGCUUAUCUCCCCCAAGAGUUCACAUCGACGGGGAGGUUUGGCACCUCGAUGUCGGCUCGUCGCAUCCUGGGGCUGUAGUCGGUCCCAAGGGUUGGGCUGUUCGCCCAUUAAAGCGGCAC
rnacentral:rRNA from 1 species